UAUCUCUGUAGAGUCUGCAUAUCAAUAAGCGGAGGAAAAGAAACUAACUAGGAUUCCCUCAGUAACGGCGAGUGAAGCGGGAAGAGCUCAAAUUUGAAAUCUUCAAGGUUCUACCUUGACGAAUUGUAGUUUAAAGAAGUGUUUUCUGUUGGAGUUUUGGUAAAAGUUCUUUGGAAUAGGACAUCAUAGAGGGUGAGAAUCCCGUAUUUGACCAUUAUUUCCAGCUUUGUGAUACACUUUCAAAGAGUCGGAUUGUUUGGGAAUGCAGUCCAAAAUGGGUGGUAAAUUUCAUCUAAAGCUAAAUAUUGGCGAGAGACCGAUAGCGAACAAGUACCGUGAGGGAAAGAUGAAAAGAACUUUGAAAAGAGAGUUAAACAGUACGUGAAAUUGUCAAAAGGGAAGCGUUUGACACCAGUGUUGUUUUCUCGAAAAUCAAUUAAAAAAGGCAGGAUUUUGUAUUGUAAUUGACCUUUAUCAGCUUUACUGCUACUCUUUUCUUGUCUUUUUUUAAUGCACUUUUCGUUUAACAAGUCAACAUCAAUUUCUUUUGUUGUAAAAGAGUCAUUGGAAGGUGGCUUUCACUUCGGUGAAAGUGUUUAUAGCCUUUGGCUUCUGCAAUCGGAGAGAUUGAGGUCUGCAGCGUAGAUCCUUCGGGGCUAGAUACGUAGAUGCUAAGUUAUAGUUUUUUAUAGACAACUUGUUGACUAUAAUUAAUCAUGUAGCUUACUCGUUUGCGCUAUUUUACCUACGCUUAGGAUGUUGAUAGUCACAGCGUGUAC
rnacentral:rRNA from 1 species